UACGGAGGGGGCUAGCGUUGUUCGGAUUUACUGGGCGUAAAGCGCACGUAGGCGGAUUGUUAAGUCGGGGGUGAAAUCCUGGAGCUCAACUUCAGAAUUGCCUUCGAUACUGGCUUUCUAGAGGCUGGAAGAGGUUAGUGGAAUUCCCAGUGUAGAGGUGAAAUUCGUAGAUAUUGGGAAGAACACCAGUGGCGAAGGCGGCUAACUGGUCCAGAUCUGACGCUGAGGUGCGAAAGCGUGGGGAGCAAACAGG
rnacentral:rRNA from 1 species